rnacentral:rRNA from 1 species
UUGAACGCUGGCGGCAGGCCUAACACAUGCAAGUCGAGCGCGAAAGUUCUUCGGAAUGAGUAAAGCGGCGGACGGGUGAGUAACGCGUGGGAAUCUGCCUGGUAGUGGGGGACAACGUUCGGAAACGGACGCUAAUACCGCAUACGCCCUACGGGGGAAAGGGGGGGAUCUUCGGACCUCUCGCUAUCAGAUGAGCCCGCGUCGGAUUAGCUGGUUGGUGGGGUAAAGGCCUACCAAGGCGACGAUCCGUAACUGGUCUGAGAGGAUGAUCAGUCACACUGGAACUGAGACACGGUCCAGACUCCUACGGGAGGCAGCAGUGGGGAAUAUUGGACAAUGGGGGAAACCCUGAUCCAGCCAUGCCGCGUGUGUGAAGAAGGCCUUAGGGUUGUAAAGCACUUUCAGUGGGGAGAAAGGUUGUUUACUUAAUACGUAAGCAAAUUGAUGUUACCCACAGAAGAAGCACCGGCUAACUCCGUGCCAGCCGCCGCCGUAAUAC